GUUAAAAAGCUCGUAGUUGGAUUUCGGCGAUCAGGGGCCGGUGAUAUAUUUGUAUCUACUGGCCCAUUUGGUCGUAUUUUUGAAAGAGGGUUUGGGGUCCCCUUCACUGGGUGUCCUAGGUCGCUUUCAGGUUUACUUUGAAAAAAUUAGAGUGCUCAAAGCAGGCUUUAACGCUUGAAUAUUCGUGCAUGGAAUAAUAGAAUAGGAAGUUCGUUUCUAUUUUGUUGGUUUUAGGAUAACGACUUAAUGAUUAAUAGGGACAAUCGGGGGAAUUAGUAUUCAAACGACAGAGGUGAAAUUCUUGGACCGUUUGAAGACUAACUACUGCGAAAGCAUUUUCCAAGAGUGUUUUCAUUAAUCAAGAACGAAAGUUAGAGGUUCGAAGGCGAUCAGAUACCGCCCUAGUUCUAACCAUAAACGAUGCCAGCUAGCGAUCUCAGGGUGCGUAAUACUAAGGCCCCUGAGGGAGCUUCCGGGAAACCAAAGCUUGUGGGUUCCGGGGGAAGUAUGGUUGCAAAGCUGAAACUUAAAGGAAUUGACGGAAGGGCACCACCAGGAGUGGAGCCUGCGGCUUAAUUUGACUCAACACGGGAAAUCUCACCAGGCCCGGACACCGGAAGGAUUGACAGAUUGAGAGCUCUUUCUCGAUUCGGUGGGUGGUGGUGCAUGGCCGUUCUUAGUUGGUGGAGUGAUUUGUCUGGUUAAUUCCGAUAACGAACGAGACUCUGUCCUGCUAAAUAGUAAUGUGAUUCUUUUGUCACAUUGUCUUCUUAGAGGGAC
rnacentral:rRNA from 1 species